rnacentral:rRNA from 1 species
AUUGAACGCUGGCGGCAGGCCUAACACAUGCAAGUCGAACGGUAACAGGAAGCAGCUUGCUGCUUCGCUGACGAGUGGCGGACGGGUGAGUAAUGUCUGGGAAGCUGCCUGAUGGAGGGGGAUAACUACUGGAAACGGUAGCUAAUACCGCAUAAUGUCGCAAGACCAAAGAGGGGGACCUUCGGGCCUCUUGCCAUCGGAUGUGCCCAGAUGGGAUUAGCUUGUUGGUGGGGUAACGGCUCACCAAGGCGACGAUCCCUAGCUGGUCUGAGAGGAUGACCAGCCACACUGGAACUGAGACACGGUCCAGACUCCUACGGGAGGCAGCAGUGGGGAAUAUUGCACAAUGGGCGCAAGCCUGAUGCAGCCAUGCCGCGUGUAUGAAGAAGGCCUUCGGGUUGUAAAGUACCUUCAGCGGGGAGGAAGGGAGUAAAGUUAAUACCUUUGCUCAUUGACGUUACCCGCAGAAGAAGCACCGGCUAACUCCGUG